rnacentral:rRNA from 1 species
GACGUAGGGCGCGAGCGUUGUCCGGAUUUAUUGGGCGUAAAGAGCUCGUAGGCGGCUUGUUGCGUCGACUGUGAAAACCCGCGGCUUAACCGCGGGCUUGCAGUUGAUACGGGCAGGCUAGAGUUCGGUAGGGGAGACUGGAAUUCCUGGUGUAGCGGUGAAAUGCGCAGAUAUCAGGAGGAACACCGGUGGCGAAGGCGGGUCUCUGGGCCGAUACUGACGCUGAGGAGCGAAAGCGUGGGGAGCAAACGGG